ensembl:lncRNA SLC8A1-AS1 SLC8A1 antisense RNA 1
ACUCUGGGGUUGCUUGCUGGCUGAAAGGAAGGAGAAUCAAAUUUAGAAAUAUCUGAAAGGAAAUCCAGAUAUAGGCUAUUAAUAGAUGAGAGGUGAAGCUAGGCUAUAUCAGCUGCUGAGGUAAUUAUCCAGUUGAUAUUUAUCUUGUUCCAGUCACCUUUAGAAAGCUGUUUGUAAUUAAUCAAACUCAAUAACAGCACAAAAGUAACAACUCAGGUGAAAAGAAAACUCACUUAUGUCUUCAAUGUCCAAUCAACAUUGCCAAAUGGGAGAACAGUUUUGGAAAUCACUAGUGGGUAAAAAAGACCAAUUUGCAACUAGGCUCUCAUGCUCUGUUGAAAACUAUGUCACAAUAUCACAAUACUAGAUGCUGGGCUCAAGACAGCAAACAGAAAGCAGCAAGGGCAGUGACUGGAAGCUGGGAGAGAGGGUCAACAGCUGAAUCUCAGCCUGAUGGAGGCCACCAUUUAAU